GGGAAAUUGUUCUAAAUUGAGGAUUUUCCAUGCUGCAUUCUUAAAGAGGAUCCUAGCAUGGGGACAGGACUGGCUGGUGUCUGACCUGGAAAGAAUGGCAACAAAGCCCUGCUGAACACGGGAGUUUCUAUCCGCCACAUCUGUCUUCAUCUGUCUGUGGAAAGGGACCAGCUGGGCAGGUGGACAUCAGGUGAAACAGAAGACUUUUCUCACUGCUACUCUCUGGGAGCGAGAUGAACACUAAUGACCUACUCACUGCUGGCCUGGGGCCUGCCACAGAGCCUCAAAUCCUUCCCUGAGUGGGCAGCUAUAGCAAGGCUGUGGGAUAAUCAUCUUCACCCAGAUGUCAUUUUUAAAAGUGAACUAAGGAUGCGUGUUCUGCUGAUUCUGAGCCCUUGCUAUUUUUCUUGUGGUUCUGGUGAAGCUCACACCUGGCAAAACCUUGUGUGCAACACAUUGUCCUUCCUGAAACAUCUUGGGCAAAGUUGCUUCUUCCGGGACCCCUUCUGCAGCACCCGUCUUGCUAGAUUUCCCAGAGAAGAUGGCAGUGCACCGACGACCUUGUGGAUCCUUCCCUCUGCCAUGCAAUGGUGACGCCUCCCUCUUUAUUUUUUAGGAGACCUUUGUUGCCAUCUAAUAGUUCCCUUAUUAACCAAAUUCAUACUCAUUAAACAGACCAGGCUUGGCACUA